GAUGAACGCUGGCGGUGUGCCUAAUACAUGCAAGUCGAGCGAACAGACGAGGAGCUUACUCCUCUGACGUUAGCGGCGGACGGGUGAGUAACACGUGGAUAACCUACCUAUAAGACUGGGAUAACUUCGGGAAACCGGAGCUAAUACCGGAUAACAUGUUGAACCGCAUGGUUCAACAGUGAAAGACGGUCUUGCUGUCACUUAUAGCUGGAUCCGCGUCGCAUUAGCUAGUUGGUAAGGUAACGGCUUACCAAGGCAACGAUCGGUAGCCGACCUGAGAGGAGGGCCAGCAAAACGGGAGCAGAGGCACGGACAAGAGUCCGACGGGGGGCAGCAGUGGGGAAUAUUACAGAAUGGGCGCAAGCCUGAUGAAGCAAUGAUGAGUGAAUGAAGAAGGCAUUCGGGUCGGAAAGUAUGGUAAGAGGGAAAGAAGGAAGUAAAGUUAAAACAUUUGCUCAUUGACGUUACCCGAAGAAGAAGCACCGGCUAACUCCGUG
rnacentral:rRNA from 1 species